AGUGAACGCUGGCGGUAGGCCUAACACAUGCAAGUCGAACGGCAGCACAGUAAGAGCUUGCUCUUACGGGUGGCGAGUGGCGGACGGGUGAGGAAUACAUCGGAAUCUACUUUUUCGUGGGGGAUAACGUAGGGAAACUUACGCUAAUACCUCAUACGACCUACGGGUGAAAGCAGGGGAUCUUCGGACCUUGCGCGAUUGAAUGAGCCGAUGUCGGAUUAGCUAGUUGGCGGGGUAAAGGCCCACCAAGGCGACGAUCCGUAGCUGGUCUGAGAGGAUGAUCAGCCACACUGGAACUGAGACACGGUCCAGACUCCUACGGGAGGCAGCAGUGGGGAAUAUUGGACAAUGGGCGCAAGCCUGAUCCAGCCAUACCGCGUGGGUGAAGAAGGCCUUCGGGUUGUAAAGCCCUUUUGUUGGGAAAGAAAAGCAGCAGGUUAAUACCCCGCUGUUCUGACGGUACCCAAAGAAUAAGCACCGGCCAACUUCGUG
rnacentral:rRNA from 1 species